UGCAUUCAAAUCUAGUUCAGUUCAGUAGCUGUCUAUGAAACUAAUAAAAUCAGAGACUGAUCAACAGUCACACACCUGCAAUUCAGCAAGUCCACCAGUGUUGACUUAUGCCAUUUCAUUUCUUUAAGUUGGUUACAAAAAUGAAAACCAAUAGAUUCCAGCCAUUCAAGCCCCCAGCGUUUUUCUCUUUCUUGGUGGAAGAUAUCAUCUGUCCUCCUGUAAUUGUCAUUGCUAGACACAUCUCCAACACGAAAUGAAUACGGAAUUUCUUUGCAGCACUGUCGGUAAGGAUUCUGUUCUCCUCAAUUUGUAGUCACUCCAGAAAGGGAUUUGUCUGGCCCCUUAACUUCGACUCCCAGGAUAGAAGUAUUCAACACUAUUUUCCUUGACCAUGAAAUGGAAAUUGCUUAUCUUGUUCUUUAAGUUCCCUUUCCCAAUGCUAAUUCCUGUGUUCAAAACUGUCAACUGCCCAUGCACAUCAGCUGCCAAACCAGUGGCCAAAGGUUGUGUCUUUAUUAAAACAUCUGCAAGGUACUCCAUCUGUAGUAUGAAUACAGGCCUCUCCAUACUUGAAUAUAUAUCCUCAUGGUUAAGUAUUACUAAUGAACAACCAAAAUCUGAUGUUAGAGUGUGACAAUAAUGCAGGA
rnacentral:misc_RNA from 1 species